CAUCAGGAAGGAAGGCUCAGGAAAAUUCUGAUUUAUUCCCAGAAGACAGUAGGUUUUGGAAAACUCUGCUUUUAAGAUGAAAACAAGAUUAAAGGAAAGGAUAAGGAAAACAAAGCAAGAUAAAACGAGGAACUCAUUAUCUACCUGUUUUAAUCUGAAAACGGGUAAAUUUUCCAAAAUGAAUUGUUACUGAAAACUCUGAAAAGAUAAUGAACCGUGAAGAGACCUUUCAAUCUUGUUAAUUUUUGAAGUUGAAAUUUUUUAAUUUAAAAUGGAGAGGAAAGAGUAAAAAACUCUAUCCCUCUGAAGGAUGUUUAGAGGAUAUCAUUCAAAAAUUUGGUGCCAACAACAAUUUAUACACAGCAUGAAGAGCAACGAAUUCCACUUCUGUGGUUUGUAUCUGGAGAAUAAAAGAAGUCAAAAGGAAAAA